rnacentral:sRNA from 1 species
UACUACGAUGAUACUCCAGUUCCUUGG